rnacentral:snRNA from 1 species
AGCUUUGCGCAAUGGCAGUAUCGUAGCCAAUGAGGUUUGUCCGAGGUGCAAUUAUUGCUAAUUGAAAACUUUUAGCACUUUGAUUAUAUUGGUCCACUGCUUUCUGGCCUCUGAAGUAGUAGUAGUAGUAGUUGAUGUUGUUCUUGUUCU